rnacentral:tRNA from 11 species
GCGCCCGUAGCUCAGCUGGAUAGAGCACUGCCCUCCGGAGGCAGGGGUCUGAGGUUCGAAUCCUCUCGGGCGCACCA